rfam:Wickerhamomyces ciferrii, NRRL Y-1031 F-60-10, WGS project CAIF01000000 data, contig: 00239
GGACUGAUGGUCCAGAGGUUAGGACGUCGCCUUUACACGGCGAAGGUCCCGGGUUCAAUCCCCGGUCGGUUCA